rnacentral:rRNA from 1 species
AGCAGCCGCGGUAAUUCCAGCUCCAAUAGCGUAUAUUAAAGUUGUUGCAGUUAAAAAGCUCGUAGUUGAAUUUCGGGACUAAUAUGUCGGUCGUACUUUGUACGUACUAGCAUUAUUGGUUUCUCCCUUCUGACGAACCACGAUGUCAUUAAUUUGGUGUCUUGGGAAAUCAGAACUGUUACUUUGAAAAAAUUAGAGUGUUUAAAGCAGGCUCACGCUUGAAUACAUUAGCAUGGAAUAAUGAAAUAGGACGUUUGAUUCUAUUUUGUUGGUUUCUAGGAUCGACGUAAUGAUUAAUAGGGAUAGUUGGGGGCAUUAGUAUUCAAUUGUCAGAGGUGAAAUUCUUGGAUUUAUUGAAGACUAACUACUGCGAAAGCAUUUGCCAAGGAUGUUUUCAUUAAUCAAGAACGAAAGUUAGGGGAUCGAAGACGAUCAGAUACCGUCGUAGUCUUAACCAUAAACUAUGCCGACUAGGGAUCGGAUGAUGUUAAUUUUUAAUGACUCAUUCGGCGCCUUACGG